CCUACGGGAGGCAGCAGUGAGGAAUAUUGGUCAAUGGACGGAAGCCUGAACCAGCCAUGCCGCGUGCAGGAAGACGGCUCUAUGAGUUGUAAACUGCUUUUGUACAAGGGUAAACCUGAAUACGUGUAUUCAGCUGAAAGUACUGUACGAAUAAGGAUCGGCUAACUCCGUGCCAGCAGCCGCGGUAAUACGGAGGAUCCAAGCGUUAUCCGGAUUUAUUGGGUUUAAAGGGUGCGUAGGCGGAGUGAUAAGUUAGAGGUGAAAUGUCCGAGCUUAACUCGGGAACUGCCUUUACUACUGGUGAUCUAGAGAGUAGGUGCGGUAGGCGGAAUGUAUGGUGUAGCGGUGAAAUGCUUAGAGAUCAGACAGAACACCGAUUGCGAAGGCAGCUUACCAAUCUAUAUCUGACGUUGAGGCACGAAAGCGUGGGGAGCAAACAGGAUUAGAUACCCCAGUAGUC
rnacentral:rRNA from 1 species